AAUGGGUGAGGUGGCAGCGCUAAAAAAGGAGGUUGCGGAAAUCAAAGCUAAGAUCGAGGCUGCCCGCAAGGCAGUGGCCGACACAACCAUGGAUGCCGCAGCAUCUGGGGUGGCCGCCGCACCUCGCAUCCAGCCAAAAUCCAGGAGGAACCUCAAGGGCCACACAGCCAAAAUCUAUGCCCUCUACUGGGCCCUGGACAACAAAAACAUGAUCAGCGGGUCACAGGAUGGUAAACUGAUCGUUUGGGACACCCAUGCUGGAAAUUUGGCCAACAUGAUCCCCCUGAAGUCUGCCUGGGUGAUGACAGUCUCCUUCUCCCCCUCUGCCGGCCUCGUGGCCAGUGGUGGUCUCGACAACAUGUGCACUAUCUACAACAUCUCAGGAGAAAAGCCAAAGACUUUGAGAGAAAUCGAUGGCCAUGAUGGUUAUUGUGCCUGUGCCCGUUUCUUGAGCGAGACUGAGGUCCUUGUUGCCUCUGGUGAUCAGACCUGUGGUCUUUGGGACCUAGAGACUGGCAAACAGAAGGUAUCGUUCCUGAACCAUCAGGGAGACUGUAUGUGCGUGGCACUGUCUCCUGACCAGAACAGCUUCAUCUCUGGGGCCUGCGACUCCACUGCCAAGCUUUGGGACAUCAGGGACGGCCAGUGCAAGCAAACCUUUGUGGGCCACACUGGCGACAUCAACACCAUUGCGUUCUUCCCCAAUGGAAAUUGCGUAAUCACGGGCUCAGAUGACUGCCAAAUGAGGAUGAUGGACAUACGCGCUGACCAGGAAAUCAUGUGCUAUGAGAACCCCACGCCCAGCGCCGGCGUGACAUCACUGGCCCUGUCCCUCUCAGGGCGCCUCAUCUUUGCAGGCUACGAUGACUUCAACUGCAACAUCUGGGACUCUCUGAAGGGAGAGAAAGUUGGUGUCCUGGCUGGUCACGACAACAGAGUGAGCUGCGUUGGCAUCCCUAGCGACGGCCUGUGUGUGAGCACCGGCUCCUGGGACAGCUUCCUGAAAGUCUGGAACUGAGCAGGCUGCUGACGGCGCUAGCUGCCCUGGCACUGUCAACCAGAGCCAGCGCAGCAGAGCUGGAGGAGGGAGAGAGCGAUGAGGAAGACAAAACAAAACAGGGAACACAGCUAGCGUAGGAGAGGAGGAGGAGGAGGAGGAGGAGAGGAAUCGAGGGAAAUGAAUGAUUGUGUCCGUUGUUGUGUUGAAGCUGUUGAUGAAGAGAGUGGGUGGGUUUGUGUGUCAGGGAUGGGGUGCAGUGCAUGAGGCAUUGCAUGGUUUGUCAUCAGGGGAGAAAGGAUGGAAGUGUUUUUUUGUUUUUUUGUUUCCUUUCAUUCCAGGCUAAGUCUUCUCUUUCUUUGUGUGACUCGCUCACUUGUUCUUUCUCUCUUACUCUCUCCUCUCUCUCACUCUUCUUUCUUUGUACAAAACCUCGACGGCAAAAGCAAAGACUCCAUAGAAUGUACAGACACAGCAUUUUCACCACCUACUGCACCAUGGAAGUUAUUGCUGAGUGUUUCGAUUUAAUACCCCAACAAGGCUAGACGAUGAGAGAUGACAACACCUCCCUUGUACAGGUUUAGGGGAUUUUGAUAGGUGCAUUGCUGCAUGUUUGUUACCACGGCAAUCCAGCUGCCAUCUUAAAUCUGCGAUGACACUGCCACUCUGACGCAUGACGCAUGCGAUUGACCUGACUUUGAUGAUGUGGCUGAUGUUGCCUUUUGUCAAGCUACUCCAGGCGCACCAUAUUGUGUUUUGGCCAACAUAGAAAAAAAAACAUGA